AAGUACUUCCACCAAGAGGAGUCAUUCGAAAUAUUGGAAUAUAUUAGUAAAAGGCAGUAGUGAUAGAAACUUUAGUACAGGUUCAUUCAGAUUACUUCAAAGGGUAAAGACUCAGAUGCUGAAGUUGGUUCAAACCGAAGAUCCUGCUACUUAUAGGAGCAUUUAAUACCUUGAACCAUUAACAUUCUGAAGGACUAAACACACUUACUUCUGGAAACUUAUUUUGGCUGGGACUUUGAGAUUUAUCUGUUUUUAAGUAUUUUGCUAGCAGAUUUCUUAUCCCCUUCCUUUCUUCUGUCCUUUGUUAAUGAAGAGAGGAUGGCUCAGUUUGUAUCCCAGCUGAAAUUGCCUGCAGCAAUGCUUGCUUCCCAAGCUCAUGGAAAACCAGGGCCACCAGGAAAAGAUGGUUUACCAGGGCCUCCAGGAAAAGAUGGUUUACCAGGGCCACCAGGAGAACGUGGACUUCAAGGUUAUAGAGGACAGAAAGGGGAAAGAGGUGAGCCUGGAAUUGGACUGCCUGGUAAUCCUGGACCACCUGGCCCUUCAGCUACGGGCCUGCCAGGCCCCCCGGGAACUCCAGGCUCACCCGGACCGCAGGGGCCACCCGGACCUCAUGGAAGAUGCAAUCCAGCAGAUUGCUAUUACCACGUAUCACAGACUCGGUCACGCACCAGUGGGAAAUAAAUCCCUCUCCAAGAGACGGUUGGGUUCACAGCCACUUUUCACUUCUCUCAAUAAGUUAAUUUAA
rnacentral:lncRNA from 1 species